AUCCUCACUUCAUUAAAUAUAGACCUUAGCAUCUCAGUCCUCCUUCACAAGCUGCAUGUGACACUGUGCACUAAAUGGAGACAUUAUCUACCACAUUUAUUCACACCUACUAUUCUACCUGCCUCAGUGUGUCGGCUCUGUAUAAUAACAGUGUAAAACUUUGUGAUAUAUGUUAACCGUAUAUAAUUUUAUGACACAGGCAUCAGCGGAUUUCACACCCUAGUGACCAACUACAAUACAGAUGUUUCGACUAAUCUUCAAGUAAUGUUCAAGGGAAUCACUGAAGCAGGUCGCCUCCAGCACAGACAUGAUCAUUGAGAUACAGCUCCCAGCCCCGGAGGACAUCUACAGCUCACGCUGCCUCAAGAAAGCUUCCAGCAUCUGUAAAGACUCUACACAGCCUCGCCAUUGUUUGCUGGAACCUCUUCCAUCUGGCAUGUGUUAUAAGGCCCCUUACGGCUGCACCACCAGACUGAGGAAUAUCUCCCCAGAGCUAUAAAGGCCAUGAAUCAACUCAUCAAGCUCCCUCCAUAAUCCUCCUGACUGUUUUGCUUCGCACUGUUUUUCAUUUUGCAGCACUAUUUUGCACAUCUGAGCUGUUUGCACUACUUACUACUGCCAGACUUGCACUUCACAUUCCUGGUAACUUUAUAUUGUCUCUAAUGCCAUAUACAGUUUACUAUACUGCUUACACUGUACAUACUGCCUUAAACUGUGGUUAAUAAGUUAAUUAAUUACCAUUUUAAAAUUGUAUUGGUUCUGAUGCUGCUUCUUUAAAAGUAAAAAUUCAUUGUUAUUUUAUCCAAUUUGUUUGAUUUUUAUUUAACUUAUUGUGUUUUAUGUGUAAAAUGGUGAAUCUCAAACUUAAUCUCACUGCAAUGUGCAGUGUCCAUGGUACACAUGUAAUCGCAAUAAAGAUAUUCAUUCAUUCA